rnacentral:rRNA from 1 species
CACGUAGGGGGCAAGCGUUGUCCGGAUUUAUUGGGCGUAAAGAGCUCGUAGGCGGUUCGGUAAGUCGGGUGUGAAACCUCCAGGCUCAACCUGGAGAGGCCACCUGAUACUGCUGUGACUCGAGUCCGGUAGGGGAGCGUGGAAUUCCUGGUGUAGCGGUGAAAUGCGCAGAUAUCAGGAGGAACACCAGCGGCGAAGGCGGCGCUCUGGGCCGGAACUGACGCUGAGGCACGAAGGUCAGGGGAGCAAACGGG